UUUUUUUUUUUUUUUUUAAUGUUUGUCAAAAUUUCGCUUCAAUUGUGAUUAAAUUUUGGAAUUUUCUCGAAUUCGAGUUAGUUACAACGUUGUUUAUUUUUAUUUUUAAAAUUUUCGCUUCAAUUGGGAUUAAAUUCUAGAAUUUUCGUGAAUUUGAGUUAGUCUAUAAUUUCUAUUGUUGGAACUGUGAUGUAAUUGCAGGUUGGAGUUGGCACACCUAAGAAAAGUCGGCCUACUUUGGGUAAAUUCUCUGUAUGAUCUCUGAAGUUGAAGUUCUUCUAUUGCUGAACUUUUUUGCUUAAAUGUAUGAGUUUUAUAUGCAAAUUGCGCAGAUAAUCUAGUGUACAUAGCUUUAUACUGCAUAUUGUUGGAUAUCUGAAAGAACCUUUUGAGUGAACUAGAUUCUUGAAGUUUGAUGUAGGAGUUUAGGAUGCCUUCACUUAUCGAGUGCAUUGUGGCAUUUACAUGGACUAGGAUGAUAGAAGGAUCACAUGUGAAGCAAUGCAGAAAUGUAACAGGAGCAAUUUGGGAAUUUUUGGCCUGCUGAGCCAAUUUUGGAUGCCUGUGUAGAUUUGGAUAUGGUGGAUGCGAGGGGAUAGAAAGAAUAGGGAGAGGUAUGAAAUAAUGAAGUUUUAGUCGAAAUUAAAGGAACAAAAGCUGUUGGAGUGUGUUUUUACCUUUGUGUUGUGUUUCUGUGCAAAAAUACAUGUUAAAAAAGUGAAAUAAUUAUAAGGUUCUGGAAAUUUAGGCACUAUGACAAAAAUCAGGGUUGGAUCUUCUGCAAAGGUAUACAUUCUAUUUACAACAUGGAGGAUUUAAUUUGUAGAAGUGGUUUAAAGAAUGCUAAUAUAAAACUGCAUGAUUAAGGUUCCUUGUCAUUUGAAAGCUUUUUGGAUGAGCUAAUGAGUUACAUUUUGGUUAAUUAUAACGAGUGAUAAUCAUUUUCUCCUAUAUGCUCAUGUUUGCAGCUAAUGCAAAGGCCCUGAAGCUUAGCUCUGAGCUCCUCAGACUCUUUGUCACAGGUAUGGUCUUGUAGUCUAUUUGAUGCAAAAAGUGUUCUACGAGAUGUUGCAUUGUCUUGAUAACCCUUUUUUCCAUCUGAGGUAGAGGCUGUUCAACGAGCUGCUAUGAUUGCUGAAGCAGAGGGUGCGAGUACAAUAGAAGCAACUCAUUUGGAGAGGAUACUUCCACAGUUGUUGCUGGACUUUUAGCAGAUUUUAUGGUCUAGGGAUUUGUAAUCGUUAUUGAAGUAAGCAUUUGUUUAAAUCAUCUAAAAGAAGUUGCACAUUCUCUUUUGUUAGUGGUCUUGCAAUUGCUAGGUCUUCUAUUGGGGAUUGGUAAUCUUAGAACUGAUUGGGUGCAUUUGGCAGUCCCGUGAGUUAUUUGACACUGCAGAUUAAGGAAGAAAUCUAUUUUUUUUGGGAGGGUGGGGGGUGUUUCAAAGGAAGAGAUGUUCUUUGCUAUGCGUAUAUCAUGAGAACUGCUAAUGUAUAAGUUUGGUUUUAGAUAUACAGGGACUUUGUCCUAACCAUUUUCUGUCUUGUGAAAGUUUGCUAUCGCUCUCUGCUGUAGUAUUUGCUUGUACUCCCUCUGGCUAGUUGAUGAGACAUGUCCCUUUUAGUGCAAAGUGAUAAGCUUGGUUGGGCAGCUAGAUCAUGCAGGACAUGAUGUUGAUAAAUUCCCAAAUGACAGGCUAUGGUGCAUUUUUUACACUGUCAUUUUGGCUCUCUCCCGGUUAGAGCUUGGGUUCACCCCUUGGUUUCCCCUACUUAGCAGGUUUUCCCCCUUAAAUGGUUAUGUGUCAUGUGUAGGGAUGGAAGAUUAGAGUAAAUCAGCAGUUUGAGAGCUGAGAGCCUGGAGUAAUGGAAUUUUCUUCAUCUGGUCACUUGGAGGUUGAUUACCAUUAAAGUACAAUGCUCUAGCUGCCCAAGUUCAAUCAGCACUUAUUUUUUGGGUAAUAAUUCAAUCAGCACUUUGAACUAGAAUAGAUACCUGAAAACAUGGAACUUGGGGGGAAAGAAUGUGUUUGAAAGUGUCUACUGUCCUACUGUCCUAAACUUGUACUAGUGUUUUAGCCCCGCGCAGCCCAUGGAGUGCCCAGAAUCCCACUUUAUAAUAAGGAAUUCUGGUGGAUGGUUAUUAUCAUUACUUUGAUUACAAAAGGAAAAGAAAUAUCUACAAGCAUUUGAGUACAUACUAGUGUUGAAAGCACAAUUCUGCAUCUCUAAUGAAACAGACACAUUUAAAUCUAUUGUUUGGGAAAAAUUUGACAAAGGCAGACUUCAGAAUAAGAUUAGUGCUAUCUCGUUCUCAAGGUAAAUAAGGAAUUUAAAUGCUGUUUUAUAGGUGAUCGAAGUCGAAAUCGAGGUCCAAGCAAUAGAACAAUAUGGUGCAUGGUAAAUUGAGAUCCAAGAGCAAUAUGGUCUAUGGUAUUCGCUUGUCCUUCUGACUUUUGUCCACUGCCAACCCCAACUGCAAAUUCAGAUGAUGAAUUUUGGCUGCAUAGCCUACCAAAUACGUUCAAGGAUGCAUCUCCCAUGAUAAAAGUUGCAUCCUGCUCCCUACUAGAUGCCAAAAUUUAAGGAAUUUUCCCUAAACAAAAAAUUGUCUGACUUUUGUAGCAAUGUGUUGCAGUUGCCUCUUAAAUUUGUGCAAGUCCAACGAUCCAAGUUUUGAUUCUUGCCCAAUAACUAUUGACAGAUACAAAUACACAAACACUUGGUAAGAAAUGAAUUCAACAGUUGUUGCUACCUCCGAAAGGAGUUUGAUAAUGCUCGAUUCUAGAUUAGUUGGGGCUAAUACAGUCACUGGACAUUUGAGUUUUGCACAAAAAAAUAUAAUUAUCUAGGGCGGUUUGAUGUAAACAUUAUUUGUCACUAUUUGAAUUUCCAUUUUUACCUUUAUAGAAACUAUUUUUAUUUUAACUACUUAAAGACAUUUUAUGGCAACAUGACUAAUCCUAAGCAUUAUAAUUACUAAUAUAACAAUCAUUAUGUAAAAGAAAUUUAAGAGAUUAGAAUUUACUUUAGCAAUGAAAAAUUCAUAUGAAAUUUAUUUAUCAUAAAUCUUACGCAUUUUUCUAUUACAGACACAUUGAGUGUGAGAAAAGCACUAGUAAUUUAUAAAAUCUUAGAACUGAUAUAUUUGAAUAUUCUACAAUCGAGCAAGGGGCUACAAUUAAUCCAGAUACAUGGAGACCCACAAAAAGAAGUCAAGUGUUUGUUUUGGUUUUGUCCUGCCUUAUAUUUACUUAUUUAUAAAUGUUGGAUUUGUUGUGCACUCAUUAUUAAUUAAUUAGGCAACAAAUUAAUCUAAAGAAUUAAUCCAGAUCCUUCAAACUUGGUUGAAGUGAUCUGAUCAAGCUGUAGUGCCAUUUCAUUUGUGAGAUGAUUUUUCCAGUCUCCAACCUCAGCUUUCCGGAAAAAGUGUUGGUUUUCAAUCAUCAUCCAUUUUCCAGUCUUGUUGCGCAAACUAUCAAAGCUACAAAGCCUCAAAAUCUCAUCAAUCAAUCCACAUGCCUCUUCCUCGGGAGAGAUAGGACACCCAAUGAACUCAGCUAUGCGCUUCAGAUAAAGAGCUGGUUCUUCUUUCACGUCUUCAUAUUUGACAAAUACUACCUUGUGGGCUUUCUUUCCAGUAAUCCAAAAUAUGAUCCCAAACUGGUCCACAGAUGCUCACUCCCCUACAGAAUUUGUCGAACGUAUCCUCCUCAAGUGAAUCUUCAGCUCCUCGCCUCUUGCUGGUGAACUUCCAAUACGAAGCAAACAUGUCCUUGAUGCUUCUGCACAAAUAAACAAUCUUGCACCCUGAUUUCAGCACUGACUUGGGUAGUAACACGAGCGGGGAAUGUGUCGAAAGCAGCCUAUUUGAGGAAGGUGUAUAAUGUUGAUCUGCAAUCAGCUGAUCAUCAGCAGCAUGUGUUGAAUAUUCAAUGAAGGGUACCCGCGUAUGAGGAAUAUGGUUCGAAGACUCGGCCGAGACCGCGAGUCUCGGUCUCGGCCGAGUCGUUACUGGAACGGGGCUUCUCAAUCCGAUACCGGGACGAGAUGACUCCAAUAUAUUGAAUCGCCGAGAAUUCGGCCGAGAUGUUUCUGAGAAGGAUAGAAACGGCCGAGUCGCCACGAGUCAUCCUGAGUCAACUCAAAUUUUUAUUAAUUUUUAAUUAUUUUUUUAUCAUAUUAGAAUAUUAAAUAUUUCAAAAAAUUUGCGUUUUGCCGAAACUACGACCGAUAUGCGACCGAUGUAUGACGCAACCGCGACCACCGUGAUGAGGAUUUGAAGUGAGUAAAGGAUGGCUUUGGUUGAUAGGAUAAUUUUUUCGGUUGAUUAAGGCGAACAUGAGAGCCUUGAGCCAAGUAGUGCCUGAUUUGGGAAUUGAGAUUAGCAGGACAUCACUACUUUGAGACUGAAACUGCCUCUAUAAUGCAAUGAGCCCCUCCAACAUGCCUAUCAUCCAGGAGCCAGAAACCCCUGAAUCCUUACAAAUGAGAAGAUCACCAGACUGAUGAUUUAGAAAUUCUUUUACUUUUUUCCUCUUGGAAAAAUAAAACUUAUAUCUACCUCUCACGUCUAUAUCCACAUCAUUCACAUCAUCAAACUGAUACGAUAUGGUUUGGAAUUAAUGGAACCAAAGAUUCGGGGGGAAGGGGGAGGUGGGGUUGAGCAAGAAACUGAAUGUUGGAGAGUUGAUCAUAACAAUAAACUAGUGUCAUCCUGAAUACACCAAAGCCAAGGAUUAAUGGUGGUUGGGGUUGGGAAGGUUGAACAAGAAAUAUCAAUGUUCUGAAUCAACCAAGACUUGCAGGGUUUCUGACGGAGCAUUAAAAAAGAAAAUGUGCAACAGGGAAGCCUUGAGCACCACUUGCCACCCAUUAGCACAGCCUUUUAAUCAAACAGAAAAUAGAUUCCAAGUUAUUAGGAGGACGUCAAUAUUGGUGCAUUUCACAUAGACUACUUUGAAAUUAUUUAGUGGUUAAUUUUGAUUAAAGCAAGCAGACAAGUUUUACGAUUGUUUAAGGCUAAAAAAAAAAAGUCACUAGUGUUUAUAAUUGCUUUCAUAAUUUCUUACAGAAGCAAUUUAUGAGACCUCUCUAAGCCGAGGAAACUUUCAUGCAACCUUCCCUUGAAUAUGCAUAGGUAAAACGUAUUUACUCUAAUAGAAUUUGGUAGAAUCAAUUCACACUUCAUACGUAGUUAUCAUCAUAAUUUUUACAAUUUUAGCAUAAUUAGUGUACUUUAUAGGUAAAAAUAUUCACACAUUGGAAAAGGCCAAAAGUAAAUCAUAAAAUCAUGAAAUUGAAUUAGGUCAGAUUUUCAAAAGAGAAAUUUAUUGAAAUUACCAAAUUCAAUCAACUGAAUGAGUGACUUUGAGUUUGAUGGUCACCCCUAAUUAUAGUUACAUAGAGACAUUAUAUAGACAUUAUAAAUGAAGAGACAAAAUUCAUAUUGGUGUAUAUGGUAUAUAUACUCAGAUUGUAUAAACCAAUGGAAGGCGUCUAAAUGCUUUAGAGAAACUACUUAACAGGUGACCCGUUCUGUCACCAAUUGGCUGAAUCGGGUUGUUUUGUGGGUCCUCCUUAGAUUGUUCUUUGGGCCAUUCUUUGAUGACUCCCUGAGUGUUAAUCUAACUGUGUGCGUGAGUUCUUGCCGUCCCGUGAGAAAAAAAAAACUACUUAACAAAGUCAUAAUUUCAUAGAACAACUAUACUAGUGGAUUUGCCUUAAAAUCCUACAAAACUCUUCCAUACAUUUGAACUUCUUUUUUCCACAAUUGUAGCCUUCUUUUCUUUUCUCUUAUUAUAGCAAAACAAGUUUGUCAAGUGUUUGUAGCUUAUAAAUCAAAAUUAAUAUGGUUUUGUGUGAGGUAUGAGCUAAACGAGGGAUUUUACUAUCACUCAUGUGUUAAGUGAUGCUAAACUAUUACUUAGUUGUUCAAAGAUGAGGGAUCGAAUUUAUCAAGGUUGAUGGACUAAAUCGGAACAUAUAAAAAAGAUUAGGGGCCAAAUGUGUUAAAAUUGAAACACAAAGAACCAAUGCCAAAUCAGUUAAAAAAAAAAAAAAGAGUAAAGAAUGAUAAUUGUAGAAACCUCCCUUGAAGUUGCUCAUACUUAUAGAUAGUGCAUUCGAGGUUUGAAAUAUUACACCUACCUCCACCAUUUUUACCGUUGAAUAGCAAAACCUCAAGAAAUGACUAACUUUAGCCAAAAUUUCUUAUGAAUGCCUAGAAUUACUCUCAUGAACUUCUCAAAAUGAUAAUUUUUUUUAUAUAACCAAGUCUAUCACUACUAUCACUAUUUUGUAAUUUGCCACCAUGCCUCCAUUAAGCAUCUUUUUUCACCAAAUUUAGCUAAUCUCUCAAAGUGCACACUUUCUCGUCAUUAUCUCAGUAGUUGUCCGUUAUAGUCCAAUAACAACUUUUAAUUUGCAAAAUAUGUAAUUCCAAUCAUUUCUAUCAAUGAUAACAAAAUAAUUAGCUCUUUUUUUCUUCACUUAUUCUAUUCUUCUUUUUAUAGAACUCUCUUUUUCUUCUCUUCCUCUCCCAUGUCUUUCAUCCCUAGCAUUAAGCAAAUUUGAAAACAAAACACCCUUUUGAACCAUAUUCUUAAUUGACUUUGUUGGGUAAUUGAUCUACUAACAUGUAAUCCAUAUUGGGGAUGAAAGAGAAGGGAAUUAAGAAAGAAGGUGAAGUAAUUAGGUGAAGGUGAUCCAUAAAGAUUGGUCAAGGAGAUACAAUGGGAGUGUUUGGAUACCAUAUUAUUUUAAAAAAUUAUUUGAUUACAUCAUGAAAGUAUUUUCCAAACACUUGUUCUAAUCUUUCAACCAUCUUUUCAUGUCACGUACAUUAUAUCAUAAAAAUUAUUACAAUGUUAUUGUAAAAAGUUUCUCCAAGUAAUCCUCUAUCUAUCUAAAUAUACUCAAUACUUUUUUGGAUGAAUGCUCAAGAGUAAAGACAGAAUGAGAGUUGAUUGAAUAUUUAUUGGGUGUGAAAAAGUUAGGGGAGAGGACUAAUGGCAUGAACUCUAUGCAUAAAAAUUACUACACUGUUAUUGUAAAAAAUUUCUCCAAAUAAUCCUCUAUCUAUCUAAAUAUACUUAACAAUUUUUUGGAUGAAUGUUUAAGAGUAAAGACAGGAUGAGAAUUGAUUGACUAUUUAUUGGGUGUAAAAGAGUUCGGGGAGAGGACUAGUGGCAUGAACUCUACGGAUAAGAUUAUAGGGAAGGGUUUUCAGGAUAUGCUGUUUAGAUGAAGAAGGCUGGUAGUUAUCUUAGUUUGUUUGCUAGGAUAUUGAUUCUAUGCAAUCAUGGGAGGUAGGCGUAAUCUUUUAAGCUUUAAAGGUACCAUCUACAAUUGUUGAGAACCUCAGGGAGGAUUCUGAAAUUAUCAGAAAACACAAAAGGCAGAAUAACUUUCAGUUCCCCCACUGGGUUUAGACGGGUUUUUCCCAACCAUCUCCUCUUAUUUGGAUGAAUUCUCAGUGGAAAAUGGAUUCCCUUUAGAGGGGUCUUUCCUCUUCAACUGUCGAGUCUAAAAUCUCCGUCUUUUUAUUUCCCAGAAGAAGAAGAAAAACACAAACAUGGAGAAAAUUCCAGCUGCUUCUGCAAUGGAAUGGAGUAUUGAUCUUGAGAAAGGCCUCCGUUCCAAAAGCCCUGGUCAGCAUCUACUCCAAACUCUUCCUUCAUCUUAAUUUUACUUAAGAAUUAAUUAUCCAAAGCUCUCAAAUUUUUCUUCAAGAUUAUUUGCUUAUCAUAUUUCAGGCAAAUGUAUUGAAGCAAUAUUAGAAAUUGGGUCAAGGCUUGAGUGGUGGAAUAGAGAAUCAAGAAUUUCAGUUGCAGAGUACAAAAUCUUCCAUUUAAUUCCCGGUGAGGAUAAGCUCUUCGCGAAUGCUAUCCUUCUUCGGCUGGCGGAUGCGUUUAGAGUGGGAGACAAACGAAUUAAAACGUGCAUUGUGAAGGUAUUUAGGGAGGAAUUGAAAAGUAGGAGGAGAAGGAGUGGGAGAAAGGUGGAAGAUGGAAUUUUGUCGAAAAAGAAGCUGGAGAAUUAUUUGGAGAUUUUAAGGAGAGUUAAGGUUGUGUUUGAUGAGGGAGAUGUCGAAGAAAGAGCUUUAGCGUUGUAUUUGUUUGGUUGUUGGGCUGAUUUCGCGAAAGAUAGUGCUGAUGUUCGAUAUGUUAUACUUUCGAGUGUUGUUUCUGAUGAUGUUCUUGAGGUAAUGACGGAUAACUUCUGUUGGAUUUUGAUAGUUGUUUAUUGAAGUGAUAAGUUUACUACAAUGCUGCAUUGUGUAGUAGUUUUUUUUUCUUCCUUGUCUUGUUUAUGCAUGAUGUGAUGUUUCAAUGGUUAGCUGUUAUCUUGUGCUAUUGUGUUUGAAUGACUCCAAUGUCUCCAUUUUUAUGUUUGGAAGGAUGUAAUCUGCACCUUUGGUGGUUUUAAAUUGCUUUUUUUCUUGGGAGUUUUUUGGUUAUGUUUGAAUGACUCCAUUUUCCCUACUUGUUUGAUAGGAAGUAGUGAUUUUGGUUGCCUGAGUGGGUUUGAAGUGUGAUAUUUUAAGCAUUUUUCAAGCUCUCACAUGCUUUCUUGGAAAUAUACGUGGAUGAAUAAUUGAAGUUUUACAUAAUCUAGGUAAAAAAGUGACUAUUUUGUUAUUUUUAGUUGGAAUUUAGCUAGAGUGGUUUUUGUUACUCACCUUCUAAGUCUCCAAGAAGUUUUUCAAUCAAAUAUCAGCUGCUAUGUUCUGUUGUUCUUUGACUUUGCUGUAGUUUCUGUUUUUUAUUUUGCAAUUCGAAAGAGAUUACCUACUCCCUAAUCUACACAGGUGAAGGCUGCUUUGUUUGCUGCUGGACGUUUCUGUGAAUUGGCAAAUGACUUUGCUAGUGUCCUGAUGGAGAUGCUUACUAAUAGGUUGACAUCAUGUGAAACAUCAAUGGCCUUAAAGUUAGUAGGAGGGCGAGCAUUGGCUAACAUGUGCUGCUCACUAUCACUUGCUAACAGAGCAUAUGAGGUUAAUUAUUUUCACUACCUUAUUUUACUAUGUGCCAAAGAUGAGUCAGCCUUUCCUAUUUAGUCAUUGGUCUGUCAGCCAGCAUUUAUGCGGAAUAUCUUUAGUUUGCUUCCUUUUCUUGUCCCUUCAUUGAUACUGAUAUGAUUUGAUUCUCUUUUUGUUGCUUGACUUAAGUCUGAUAUACUACAACAAUAGUGAAGGGCCAAAUCUCAUAUCUUUGUGGACAAAUGCACAUUUUUUUUACUUUGCUUUCCAUCUACAAUGACUUCAAGGAAUUAAAUUGUUGGCAUAAUGUGGUCAGCUAAGAAAUGCAUCCAUCCCGGCAUCAUUCUGUAUUCAACUUACAUACAUAUGACUUGUGUGUCAAAGAUUUGGAAGCUAGUGACCAUCAGUUAUAGUCUGAGUUGGCUAGUUUCCUCUGUUGUUUGUUUCAGAUGCUUUGACAAACAGAAACUCUAAGAAAAUUCUGUUCUGAUGGGAAUUGCUAUCGACUUGAUUUUCAUAUUCUUGUGCAUGAGAGGUCUGGUCGUCUAUUGCUAGUUACUUAUGAGGAUACCUAAUGCUUUUUUAGUAGGAAAUUGUUUUGGUAAUUGUGGGGUUGCAUAAAUGCUAAGAUGUAUAUGUCUUUUCCUUGUCAUUCUUUUUAGAUGUAUGGAACUGUUCCAACCAGUAACAUGGUUAUUGCAGACAGGUUUAAAGCUGCUCUUGGACUCAUCAGAAGAAAAUUUUUCUGCAGUUAUGCUGGUAUCACUUACAAAACUUGCUUCUUGUUGGACUCUACUGAUUCCUCAACAGGUCACUACUAUGCUCUGUUUUCAUGUGAACAGUUGUUUGUGCUAGUGUAACUCGUAUUGAAAAGUUGCAAUUUAGUAAACAACACUGUCUAUGCUAAAAUAAUAGUUAAAGAAGAAGAAAAGUUAGACAUUGGCGUAUAAUUGUCAGUUCUUGAGGUAGUGUUGUAUAUAGUAGCUUUGUCCAGGAACGCUAAUGGAUGUGAUAUGAACAAAGCUGCAAAUAAUUGUUACUUGAUUGCUGGUUGUGAUUUUGUUGUUCAAGUUAAUUAUUAUCUCCAUGGUGAUGAUACUAAGUGCACAUUAAGUUUAACAUACUAGUCAAAUAUAUCAAGGUCAUUUUUUUGUGAUCCAAGGGGCAUGGCAUGCUGUUCAAUGCAAAACGUAGUAGACUAGCAGGGUAAAAUGCUUUCGCAUCAGUAAAUUGGUGAAAAUUAUAAUAGAUAACUGUACAAUUCCUAACUGUUGCUUGGGUUAAUUUAUAGUUAGAGAUGACAACAAGAUUUAUAUGAUAAAAAUGGGGCAAGUCUAUCAAGUUUGUAGACUGGUGCUGAUAACCCAGAGGCUUAAGAGAAUGAUGCUUAUCCAGAUUUUCGUAAAUUGAAAAUGUCAAAACUACAUAUAAGUCCACAGGUUUUGGUUUUUGGCAUGUAGAACCUAUUUUGCGCAAAUCUUGGUGACUGUAUUAUCUGUACUAUUUUGUUACACAAAUUGCAGAUGGAACAAAAUUUGCAAAUAGGACAUGAGUUGCUUGUACGAUAGAAAUCUCAUCUCUUUGAUGAUAUGAAUAGCUUAAGACCGGAGAGAUGAUAAUUUCUGAGUAUGGGAAUAAGUAUUAAAAGUUAUAAAUUCGUUGCCAAACACUGAUUUGAAUGGGAAUGACUAUAUUGGACAUCAUAGGUCCUCUAGUGUGUUGAUUUUGCCAACUAUUGCUCUUCCACUGGCUUCAUAGUUGUGAUGAAUAUCUCUGGCUCUUGUGUUGCAGAUAGAACUGCUUUUCUCUUAUCUGGCUAAGUACAGAGCAACUCAGAUUGAAGUUACAACUUUAACAUGUCUUCAAUUUCUUUUUGCAAGAGGGGUUUGUCCUUGUCCUGCAUCUAGAGAUAUGGUUCAGAAUUUCUUUGAUAUGCUGAAUCAAUCCAAAUUUCCACCAGCUGUGCUGCGUCAAGUUCUGAAAGUCUUGCAUAAGGUAAUUCUUCUGCCCUUCCCCUUCUCGUGAUUGGGUUGACAGGAAAGGUACAGUAAUGGUUUGCUUACAUCCUGACAACUUUUUCAGAUGCUUUCAUAUAACCUACCAACCUUACCUAGCUCAGAGAUGUUUAUGGUGUUCUCCACGUUCUUGAAGUUUAUUGAGAAUGUAAAUCAAUCUUCAAUCAUGUCAGAGAGACUUGUAGCUGCACGUGUUCUAGUAAAUAUUUUGUGCAAGUUUCUGGGAAGACCUAAACUGGAACAUGAUGAAACAGCUUUCACUCUGGCAUACCAAGCAAUUUCGUUCAUUAUGGAUCGCAUUUCUGAGCUAGUGAAUUCAAUUGUGACUAGACAUACUUUUCUGGUGAAUGGUCUCAAAACAACUAAGAAAGGGCUCCUGGAUGGAGAUCAGGCCAAUGAAGAGUUGGAGCGAGAAGUGACAAGCUUGCUUAGAUCUAUCUUUUAUCUGGUUGAAAACCAUUCAGACAUCAGCGGUUUGGUGCUAGAUAGAGUUGGCAUAUUUUUGGAGCAUCUAGUGAGCACGCUUUGUAGGGAUGUAAGCAUAGAGAAAGACAACUUUUUAAACUAUGAACUGUCAGAAUGUGGUGAAGAAUACAAGACAGCAAAUAUACUAAAACUUGUGUUUUCUGUAACGAGAAUAAUAGUUACUUGUCUGGAAAACCCUGAAGUAGAGCAUGCAGAAACAGCUAAAGUCCUGAAUUCCUUAAAGCUUUUGAUAGAUUAUGUAUGCAAGUCCACCCCAAUUGGUUCAUCUACGUACACCAUUUACCUGCUUUUGCUGCACUUUCAUAGUGCCUGUAAGUGCAUCUGGCGACAGAUUAACCCCAUUGUAUACCUUGAUGACAAUUAUACUCCAUUUUAUGCUGGUUCUUUUCUUCACGAUAAUACUUUUAUUGCUGAAUUUGGAAAAAAAAUGUUUGGAGGAAGAGAUAAUUGGUCUUCUUAUAAAGCUGGAAAGCGUGCAGCUUUACAGGGACUAUGGUCGAAUGCUGCUUUCAUAUUUGAGCGACUCACAAAAAUGGCUGUUUCUAAUUCGAGCUAUGUCUGGUUGAAAACCUUGAAUUUGUUCUCACAUUCUGAAAGUCAGAUUGAGUAUUUUGGGAUUAUUAAUGUGAAAGAUAGUUUGUCUGAAGCUGGAGAAGAAAUUACUCCAAAAAAUAAUUUGUAUAACUAUGUUGAAAUUCUUGUCAGAGCUUAUGAUGGCGUUCACCUUGCAGAGAAAAUGCUGAAGAUGUCUGCUCCUGGGCUUUCCUUCACUUUUCAAAGGUGGUUUUUGGCUCUUAGAGCAAAAUUUUUGGAGAUUCUGGUGGACUUAAGCACACUCUUAGGUGCAGUUUCAUUUCUAGAAGAUAGCAGUAGCUGUGGGCCAGAAAAGAUGACUGUUUUGGUUCCAAGUAUGAUACCUUUGGAAAGAUACAGAUUCUUGGUGGAUUCUCUUGCCUCGGUAUCUUCCCAGCUCAAGAAGUUGGCAGAUGAAUUUGAUUUAUUAGCAACAUCUUUUGUUGGCAUGGACAGAAAAAGCACGAGGAUACUUUUAUGCUUGUCAGCAGGUUGUUCGCUGUUGGCCUUCAGUACUGGGUUGUUCUUAUCUAUCCCAUACUUACAUGUUUCAGAAAAUAGCGUGACUAAAUGUCUAGAUGGCUCAGAAGGGCAUCAUCGUGGUGUGCUUAUUCAAGAUUUAUUUGAGAGGCUAUCACUUGUAGACUCUGAAACCAGUAAACAUCUUUGGAUGCUAUUAAAGGUUUAUGGAAAGUCCAAGAGCUGUUUUCUGUCCAAGUCCGGAAAUCAAGCUGCAGGCCUUUAUUACGAGGCAAGUAGCAUUGUUAAACUUUUUAAAUAUGCUGUUUCAGAGAUUGUUGGCCUCCAAAAUGAGGCACGCAUAUUUUGCAGUGAUGAAACCAAAUCUCAGAUUUCUAGUCAUGGACUAAAGUUGUUGUUGAGCAUCAUUUGGAAGUGGAUGCAGAUCCCCUUCAGGUGUCCGGAUUACUUUUUUCAAGUAAGGUAUGCAUAAUAAGCAUUUAAAUGGAUCAUCAGAUCAUCCAUUAUGUGUUUCUUCUUGAUAUAAAAACUGCUGUCAAAUAUAGAGACUGUGGAGUUCUUAAUCUGCAUUGUUAUCGCAAUAUGGAUGUAGUGAUGAGAUUUCAAUUAUAAUUUCUUGCAAACAUAAUUUUCUCUAAGCAGUAGGAGGGCCUAAACUUUCCUUUAUCUAGUUGCUUGGAAAGCUCCAUUGUUUAUGGUUUCAUCCAAUCAAACCAGCAAAGAAAAUAAAGAUAUGAGAAAAAAGAUUAAGACAAGAAGAAUCCAAUUCUUUUUCAAUCUUUUAUUGUUAAUGCGUGGUAGGAGACCAUUAUUAACAACCACUAGUAGUCAAAAGUUUGCACAUACUUUGAUAGAUCCACUUGCCAUCUUAGAUUUUUCUAAAAACGACCUUUCCCAGAAAUUGUUGAAAAAGUAGUUUAUUGGGUAUGAAACAUUUUCAUCAAGACAAAUUAAAGGAUUUUAGUGUAGAAUAAAAAUUUAUUAGCAAUGACUGGAAAUUGAGCAUGUCCAUAAUCCACUUGAGCAGAAGCAGAUACUGCCGGGCCUAGUUCUUUGCUUCUGUGGCUUUUGCUGAUGCAAAUCCUGAAAUUCAUAUAUAUUUUUGGUCCCUUUUCAGUUGUCCUUAUUGCUUUGUGUUGUUUCAUUGUCCACUUUUUCCAGUAACCUGAUCUUUGAAGCUGGAUUAUUUUCAGGGAUAAUGUUUUUUCAGAGCUAUUUUCCAUGAAUGAAAAUGGUGAAAAUUUUGAUGGGAUGUCUGUCUCAUUAGGCAGCCAUCUAUCUCUGAAUUUGUGCCUUAAAUUGAAAAACAUGCCACCGUCCCUUCACCUUCAGCUUUCUAAGCUUUAUUGCAUCCUUAGCUGUACUGUUCCAUCUCCACAUGGAAAGAACAUAGAGAAAUCAUGGUUGAAUAGUGAAGAAUGGGACACUGAUGAUAUUCUAGCUUUGAAUCAUAAGCUCAUGAGGUAUGCCACUGGGUCUUCUACGCCUAAUGCUAUGCAGGAUCGAACUAAUGCUGGUAGCAGGUGGACAGAGGAGUAUGUGUGUUUUCGUCUUAAUGAGAGAGGCCAAGGGUUCUCGACUUGCUUGCUUGAUGUGUCUGCUUUUCCUCCGGGAAACUAUAAAAUUAAAUGGCAUAGUUGUUGGAUAGAUGAUGAAGGUUCUUAUGGGAGCCUCCUUCCCAUGAAUGCUGGUCCCAACUUCGCUAUUGAGAAUUCUUCUAAUUCCAGAACAAUGCAGACAGAAGUUUCUUGACUAUUUCAUAUAAGAGGAGCUGUGAUUGAUUCCUGUUCUUUUGGUAUGUCUUAUUUCAAACAUAUUCUGCUUCCCUGUUGCUUCAUUUCUUGUAAGUCAUUUAUUGUUCCUGUGUGAUAGGUGCCUGGGGAUUUUAGGUCAAUUUGAUCAUCAAACUUCCAAUAGAUGGAUGUUACGCAUAUAUGAGAGAGGGAGAAGUCUCAUCACAGAAACCACCAGUUCCACUAGGAUUUUGCUGCAAAUUUGUGGUUAAGUUCAUAAAAAAAACUCAGACCAUCCCCUGUAGACAGCAGUCGUCUGGGCUGCACCCAGAGUUGAAGGAUCAUGUACCUUCCAACAAACCUCCUUUUUCUGUUUCUUCAAACCUUGUGCUGCUACACCUGGUGAUACGGAAUUCACAUGCAUCCUGGGUCCAAGACUAUUUUAAACAAUUUAUUGUUCCUAUGGCUUCUGCUCUUGCUGCCCUGUAGCCCUACCUGAUAUCCUUAAAGAGUACAAGACUCGCUGAGUGGCUGAACUUCUCCCUAUCAGCCAAAGUCUUGUAAGCUUUAUCGGAGAAUACGCUGGUGCACUUUAAGAGACUCUUUUCUAUGAUUGGCGAGUUCCAGGGAACCCUGUCCACUCUAUUGUUUCUGUGUCAGCUGAGUGGCUGAACUUCUUCCUAUCAGGCAAGUCUUGUAAGCUUUAUUAGAGGAUAUGCUGGUUCACUUGAAGAGAAUCUUUUCUAUCAAUGGUUUCCAUGUCCAGUCCAGGUGCUACUAGUUCUUCAGUCUGGAACAAGAAAAUAGACCACAAUUUGCUUUGCAGGUUCAUAGACCUGGUUAGUUUAGUUAGUUAGCGAAGGAUCCUCCUUUUUUAGGGCAUUUCGUGGAAGUUGAAUUGCCAUCUGACUUUUGUAGCUCAUGGAUGUAAGACCUGGAGGCAUAUCACUCUGUUUGAUGGGCAUGUUAUCUUGUUCUGGUUUAUGGUGAGGAAGUCAACAUAAAGAGCAAGCAAGGAAAUUGGGAAUGUUCCUGUGGGAGUAUUGUAUUAAAUGGACGUUGAAUUGGUAUUAAUUAUAACUUCCAGAAAGGGUAAAAUUUUAGUACUUAUCUUUAUGGAAUUUCUUGAUAAUCUCUAUCUUAUUUAGUUAUGCAUCUUGGGAAUGAAUGCAAGUUUAUUACUCCUUUGCACGUCUCUGUUUGCACAUGAUUCUUGGUUGCAUUUGUGUAUCUGACAUGCAUAAUCUGUCUCUUUCUGCAUGUGUUGCUGUAGACUUCGGUUUUAUGACAGUUAAAUACUUAUUAUCCUAAUGAGUCCUGUAUUUUUGUGAGAUUUGAGUUAUAGUGGUUGACCUCUCACUUUUCUAACUUUGGCACUUAAUCAACCUUUCCAACAGAAUACACAUAGAAGCGUGGUUAUGUUGCUGAAGAUCUAUAUUAUCUGGAGCUGUGACUUUGGUUUUUCUGAUACUUGAAGUGGUCUUCCUACCAGAAGGAUAACUUGAUUCUGAGGUGAGGGCAUCAUGAGUACUAGUAGAAUUGAGGUAUUGUUCUUUAAGGGAACUUCUGAGGGUUUAUUUAUUUUCCUUGCAGAUUUCUACGAGUUCAUGUUGAAAAAUGCCAAAUUCCCAUGUUUCAAACUUUAUAUUGCCCUUGGAAAUUUUAAACUCCAGGGAUGUUUAGGAGAAUCAAAGCCUUUUUUUUGCGUUGAGAGAUUAAUUUGUUUCAAUGAGUCAUUAACAUUAUGCUGUUGCCUCCACUGAAAGUUUAAAGCUAAAAGAUAGAUUCUAAGGAUGCUGAGAAAUUUUUAUUCAAAACAGAAGAAGAGGAAGACGAUAGACUGCUUUUAGUUUUGAUAGAAUUUUUACUUGUAAGAAAUACUUCUUUGAUGAUGAAGAUUUAAAACACUUAUGCAGUUGUUUAACAAAUUAUUCAUCAACUGAUACAAAAUAGGAUUGAGAAGUAAAGCUAAAGAAUGUGAAGUUGUAUGCUAAAAUCAACUUCUCUCAGAUAUUGUCAUUACAAUGUAUUCACCCCAGAUGUAUGCGAAGUUGAACCUAACGAUUUGACCAAGAGUACUGGGUUGCUGUGGUAAGUUAUAGAUUAUUAGUGAGCUAACUCAUAAACCACUGGUCGUUUUUCCACUUUUGGUUUUCCACCUGGACAAAAACACUUUGAAUCGUGUCAAUUGAAGUGUGCAACUUGACAAACCAAUAGGGGGAACUAACUCAAGCAAGCUGAUAACUAAAACAAAAGGGAAGCUCUGUUUUUGGUCAUUGUUUGAUUAGAUAUACGCUUCGAAGUUGCUUAGUUUACAUGCAGUUUUUGUGAUUUUGAUGAAGCAACACAUGCUUCUUAAAGUUCCUCGGCCUGGUCCAAUCCGUACAGCCCCCAUAUAUUUAAAUUAAUAUGUUUUUCAUAUUUAUUGAUUUCAUGAGCUUGCUUACAUGUUUAACUUAUGCUACUGUUAUACUACAUGAAUUGCAUUUCUUCAUCUGGAUGAUAUUUCCAUUAUGUUUUUACUUUUUUUUUCCUACUUUCAAUGAAUUUUUAAUGUUUCAAGCUCUGUGGCACACCGAAUGACAUGACGGUCCAUUUUUACUUAAAAGAGAGAAUUUUUUUUUUUUUUUUAUCAAGAUGAAAACUUCUAGUGUAAAAUGAUGAACAGACCAUUUUCUGCUUCUACUAGGAUUUCAACAUCUUGAGGUUCUAUGGUGCUUUCUCCUAUGCUUGUGAUUUAUUCUUUUUCCUCUUUGUCUGGAAAGAGGUAAUGCAGGUUUGUAUAAUGGAAGAAAUUUCACUUCCUGUAUUCUUUUUUGCUUAGAGGAUAUUACUAGUUUUGCUUCUGUAUUGGAAACUUUUAGCAGUAAUAUGAACUAGACUUUCAUUUCUUUAAUAGUGAAUUGAGUGCUUUGUUGUAAUAGAGUUCUUUUCCUUCUCUUUGAUAUGAUUCCUUGCAUUUGAUAUGUGCUGUCGAGUACAGUUGACAUGGCCAACCUCGUUCAUUGCUUACAUUAUUGCAAAAGAAAAGAAUAUGAUGUAUAGACCGCUAUAGGUGUAUUUAUGUGUUCAAAAUUUCUUACCAGCAGUUUUGCUCGUUGGUCCGGAGCUUGGCCAUACAACUGUACAGUGUGCCUUUUCCUGCCUCCUACAGGAAACAAAGCCCAAAGGAGGCUAAUUGUUACAGGUAGAAGUUAGGUAAUGCUUUCACUGCAGUUAUCACAGUAGGCAAUGUUCUCCAGAUAAGGCUUAAAAUGCUGAUAUUGUAGAUGAAUUGCUAAUAGCUAGAGAUAUGAGAAGGCAAGACUGUCUCAAGUGUUUGUGCAGAGAGAGGCCAAUUUGUGUGCCAAGUGUGGAGCUCCCUCUGAGGACGUCAGACAAAAUUUGUGCAAGUGCGCACAAAACCAGAAAAAGCUGGAGUUGCCAUCUAGUUUUUUCAGUUUAAGGACACCAAUUCUUGUUAGAUUUGCUAGUCUAUUGGUAAAAGUCGGAUGGAUACGUGCACACCUUGGCUUAUCAGAUUUUUUUGCAGUAGUCUUUCUUCCUUAUUCUACUAUGGCUGGCUUGUGGACAAAGCUGGGGUCAGUAAUGGCUGAAUGUGCCAAGAAAAAGGGAGAAAAGAAGAAGGUUUCAGGACUUUUUUUUCCUUCCCUUGCUUAGAUUUUUUACUGGGAAAAAGUGAUGAAAUUUCCUCUGUCGAUAUUCUCCAUUAUCACAAAGUACGGCCGUGAAACAUGAGGUCAGAUUAUGAGAAUGUUUCAGAAGAAGUUUGUCCUUCUUAUCUCCAUUCCAAGAAAAAGAGUUCAAUGUUUCUUUUAAUUCCUGCCUAGACGCCCGAGUUAAGAAAAAGUGAAACAUGUCUCACUCGUUGGAGGACUUUGUCUCUUAAAUUUGUUCUUCAGUCUUUGGUGGACUUUCCCUUUCACAUACUCUAUUGCUUGGAGGAAAUUUAGGUGGGCAGCAGUUGGAAUUAAGAAGACGAAAAAUGUGUUUUUGACUUUUUCAUUGGUAUGAAAUUUCUGACCAAAGCUGCAUUCCACAUUGUGUCUUCGUGGAAGUUACUAGUCAACGUUCUUGAUCUUGGGUCUACGCUUCAUUUACCAUAAGAGAAUUAUAUCAACCAUAAGGGAAUUAUGGGGAAAAAAAAUGCACCAAUAGUCUUUCACAUAUUAUUGGCAUUAAAUUUUAGUCCACAGAAUUAAAACGAAUUGGCAUUAAAUUUUAGUCCACAGAAUUAAAACGAAUGAUUUUAGUUCACAACAAUUAGAACACACUCACUUUUGAUCAUUGGUUACGUUUUUAGUCAAAUUUUGCUCGAAAUAAGGCAUGGAUACAUCAUUGCAUCAAUAUUUGAAGGGUAAAUUUCACAAUUUACUUAAUAUUUACUCAAAAUUUCUCAUUAAUUCUACCAUUUCCCCUUGUUCUUCGCUACUUGAACCCUAAUUUUGCAAACCCAAAAAUGCAUAUACCCAUUUUUUGUUCAAGUUAUUAUCACUUUAUUCCCAUAAACUAUAGUCUUAUUAUCAAUUUACCCUCUAAAGUUUAUUUUAGACAAUUUAUCCCACUAUUAAACCAAAUUAGCAAGUUAAAAAAUUUCAGAAAAAAAGUACCAUCCUCUUUAUAUAACAAAAACAAUAAAAAAAAUUUAGAAUGGCUAUUUUCCUUUCUAUAUCAAGAAAAAAAAAGUCAAAAUAUUAAUCUCUUUUUUCUUGGCAAUUUUAUUAAUAUUGAAACAAAAAAGAAAGAUACAGGGAAAGAGAGAGGAAGAGAGAGAAAGACAGAGCUCAAUAUUUAAAAAAAAAAUACAAAGAAGAAAUAAUUCAAUAUUUUUAUUAUUUUAAAAUUACUUUACUUUUCUUAUUACCGACAAAUUUCAAUCCUAAUUCUGACGAUGUUAAAGUAAUACAAUAAUAUUAGAUUCUUCCUUAUUUUUUUCUUUGCAAAACCUAAUUUUCUGUCUCUUUCUGUCCCAUCUCUUUUUCUUUUCCUAGUAUUGAUAAGUAUGGAAAAAAAAGUUUGAGAAAACCCUUUUAUUGUUAUGUUUUUGGGACUCUCAAAGUGAAAAAAAAGAAUAACCAUUCCAACUUUUUUAUUUUUAAUUAUAUAUAUAAAAAAGAUAAAUACAUUAAAAAAUUUUUGAACAUACUAGUUAAAUUAACGAUAGGAUAAGAUGUUAGAGAGUAAAACGAUUGUAUAACUAUAAUUUAAAAUGAUAAAGUGAUAAUAACAAUGUAGUAAUGUUAUAAAACAAAAAUGUAUUUUUAUCUAAAAUUUGUUAACAUAUUGAGUUGAAUUACCUACAAGAAUGAAAUGAUUAAAGGAUAACGUUAUGGGGUAAAUUGAUAGUAGUGAUAUAGUUUAGGGGAUAAAAUUAUAAUAACCCUUUUCGUUCCACCACCACCCACUUCCACCAUUCUCACCCACCACCACUGCUGACCACCUCUUACUCCUUUCUUGCCACAUGAAAUCAACUAACCGGUACUAGUACUACUAUAGCAGUCAAAUUAGAAAGUAAUCUGAAACCCAGUUCCAGAAUCUUGGUCAAAUCUUUCAGCCUCAAUGGUCUUCAAAGAUGCAGAUGCAGCUUUAAACUCGGGUAAGGCCCCUUCUUUUGCCAAGGCAAGCUUGAGCAGCACCAUAGCAGCAGCCUUCCUCGUUGUCCUAUCCUAAUUGCUCAAAAACUCCACCAGACAUAUUAGCAAGUUACUCAGCUUCAUCCUGAAGAGGCCACCAUUGACCUCGAUCAUGAUUUUCAUGAACCCCAAAUAAGAGGGAUGGUAGUGGAAUUAAAAGGGUGUGCAUAAGAGGGAGAAGGAAGGGGAAGACGAGAGAGAGAAAAUGGGUGUAUUGCUUUUGGCUUGCAAAAUUAGAGUUUGGGUGGAAAAAAAUUAGAAAAAAUAAAAAUUUACUCAACGUUAAACAAGUUAUCAUGAUAUUCAAGUUAUAAAAUUUGACAUAAAAUGCGAGGAAUUGACCAAAAAUGAACAAUUUUUUAUUUGUUAGAGACUAAAAUCACUCAUAUUAAUUGUGAGGGAUUAUAUUUUCACGUCAAUAAUACAUGAGGAACGAUUGGUUUCACCACCAACAUUGAUUUGAGCUGUACUUCCUGUUCUGAAUGCUCCAAUAGAAUUUGCUGAUUACUUGCUCUAAAUUUGAAUGUGAUCAGGCUAAUUAUGUCCAACAAGUGUCUCAAAGUUGCAUGGUUUUUUGUGUCCCAGCGUAGUGUAUGGUGUCCUUUCAAUUGAGCCCUUGGUUUCGGUCUAUUCAUACUUAAAUCUUGACAUGAGCCAAUUUAAUCCUCAAAAUAUAAAAUUAGUCAUACUUAAAGUAAAAUCGUUGAUGUAAAUGAAAUAGACUUUAUAGUUAAAUGGGAUAAAUUCUACACUUUGGUGACUAAAGUGGAAUAAACUCAUCAUUUAAGGAUUAAGGUGUGAUAGAUUUCAUAUUUUAGAAACUAAAGUGUUCAUCCAUGUAGCGUUGAAGGUUGUAAAGUGAAAUUAACCAGUUGAUUAUUAAACUGAAAAAGUAAAAAAGUCAAGUUGGUAAUCUUCCAUCACAAAAAGCUUGAUACACUUGCACACAAUAUCCUAUUAUCAAUAUCAAAAUGUGUUGCACUUUGGACAGUGCAACUCAUAGAUUCAUAAUUACAUGACUUGACGUUUCUCAUACUUUAUUUGAAAUAACAUAGCUCUAAUAUCUAUGCUAUUAGGCCUCUCUUUGGGAUUUUCCAAUGUGCAAAAGCAAGCAAUCUUGAGGACUAAAAGCAUUUGCUCCUCGUAUCCAUUGCCCAAGAGCUUAGGAUCGAUUGC
rnacentral:lncRNA from 1 species